rnacentral:rRNA from 1 species
UACAGAGGUCUCAAGCGUUGUUCGGAUUCAUUGGGCGUAAAGGGUGCGUAGGCGGCGCGGUAAGUCGGGUGUGAAAUCUCGGGGCUUAACUCCGAAACUGCAUUCGAUACUGCCGUGCUUGAGGACUGGAGAGGAGACUGGAAUUUACGGUGUAGCGGUGAAAUGCGUAGAUAUCGUAAGGAAGACCAGUGGCGAAGGCGGGCCUCUGGACAGUUCCUGACGCUGAGGCACGAAGGUCAGGGGAGCAAACGGG